CCUACGGGUGGCAGCAGUGGGGAAUUUUGGACAAUGGGCGAAAGCCUGAUCCAGCAAUGCCGCGUGUGUGAAGAAGGCCUUCGGGUUGUAAAGCACUUUUGUCCGGAAAGAAAACGCCGUGGUUAAUACCCGUGGCGGAUGACGGUACCUUAGGAGGAAGCCCCGGCUAACUACGUGCCAGCAGCCGCGGUAAUACGUAGGGGGCUAGCGUUAUCCGGAAUUACUGGGCGUAAAGGGUGCGUAGGCGGCCCUUCAAGUCAGAGGUGAAAGGCUACGGCUCAACCGUAGUAAGCCUUUGAAACUGUAGGGCUUGAGUGCAGGAGAGGAGAGUGGAAUUCCCAGUGUAGCGGUGAAAUGCGUAGAUAUUGGGAGGAACACCAGUUGCGAAGGCGGCUCUCUGGGCUGUAACUGACGCUGAGGCACGAAAGCGUGGGGAGCGAACAGGAUUAGAUACCCUGGUAGUC
rnacentral:rRNA from 1 species